GUGUCAGCAGCCGCGGUAAUACAGAGGGUGCUAGCGUUAAUCGGAAUUACUGGGCGUAAAGGGCGCGUAGGCGGUGAGAUAUGUGUGAUGUGAAAGCCCUGGGCUUAACCUAGGAAGUGCAUCGCAAACUGUCUUGCUGGAGUAUAUGAGAGGGUGGCGGAACUUCCGGUGUAGCGGUGAAAUGCGUAGAGAUCGGAAGGAACGUCGAUGGCGAAGGCAGCCACCUGGCAUAAUACUGACGCUGAGGCGCGAAAGCGUGGGGAGCGAACAGGAUUAGAUACCCUAGUAGUCC
rnacentral:rRNA from 1 species